GCGCACCAGUCGCGAAACUUUACAAUGCGGAACCGUGAUAAGGGAACCUCGAGUGCUGGCGCAUAGCGUCGGCUGUCCAGAUGCCUAAAGCAUCUGAUAGCAAGGGCCGGGCAAGACCGGUGCCAGCCGCCGCGGUAACACCGGCGGCUCGAGUGGUGGCCACGUUUAUUGGGUCUAAAGCGUCCGUAGCCGGCUCGGCAAGUCCCCUGGGAAAUCUGGCGGCUCAACCGUCAGGCGUCCAGAGGAUACUGCUGGGCUUGGGACCGGGAGAGGUGAGAGGUACCUCAGGGGUAGGGGUGAAAUCUUGUGAUCCCCUGAGGGACCACC
rnacentral:rRNA from 1 species